UAAACAUAGCAUAUUUGUGCAUAAAUUUUGUAACAUCCAAUUGUGUUAACGAAGUGCUGGAGGGAAUACUUACAUCGUUCAGAAUAUUUAGUCACAUGUGGACGAGACUUGCGAGGAGAUUGUGCAUAACUCGUGGCAUGUCAUCGUUUGUGCCGUUUUCAGUCAACAGAUUCCACAUACACAAAACCUUUUAAUUUCACAGUCGAAUAUUUCAGAAGUAACCACCAUUGGUUUUACGUUCUCUUCCCUUUAAUUUUACUCAUAUUCAACAUAUGUGCAUAUAAAUGAUUUGGUGGAGUCACAAACCUAGUAGUGCUUUGAAUACUCGAUAUGUGACUAGUAUAGUUACAAAUAGAUUUGGUGUUGCUGGUGUUGAAUAGGAUGACCACGAAACGACGCGUGAAAUUAAUAGGAAUAAUCAUUGCCUCCUCAAAGGUUUUCAUUGCCCUGGCGGAUGUGCCGACUUUUUAACGCUCGUUGUAAUAGUCUUCAACAAUUUUCUACAAGUUGAUCAGUCCGCAGUCAUGAACUCAACAAUUUUACUAAAUUCUUAUAUGCACGUGAACAUAUUGGUAUGAGUUUUACCGAGAGUAUCUGUGUGUAUUUCUGGAUUUUGUUUGCUAGUCACUCAAUUUAUACUGUUCGUGCUCAUCUGUUAGGUGAGCGCACUAACGUAUCACUUACGUAAGGUGAAAGAUGGCGAUACAAUAUGCAAUAUGUCUGAAAGAGUUAACACGAUUUUACGAGCGAAAACAAGUAAAUGUGAAUUAUAAAUACCACUAAAAAUGUAUCUUUUAAAUAAAAAAAAAUGCGGUCGUUGCAAAUUUAGUGCUUCUAUCAACUGAAAAAGAUUACUGGAGAAGCAACACAGUUGAACGAUUCAGUUCAUAUGAAUCGUUUAUUAACAACUUUUGAAAAGUAGAACAAUUUAUUUUAUCCGCACUUAAGCUCACAAUCGUCUAAUACAAAUGUAACUACAUUUACCAUCGUGGGAGUAAAAAAACUACAUAUUUCAAAAGAACGUGAAAUACUUAAAAUUGCUGUUCACAUGGUCGGAAAAUAUAUACACAGCAUGCUUCAAAAGUUGUAAUUUGUGAGACUCUCUAUCGCAAACAUCUUCUAGGCAGAUUAAUUGAAACUAAUCAAUCGAAGAUUAACUUGAUUACUAUCGUUGCGCUGCCUGGAAUUACACCAUGCUAAGAAUACACUUAUUCGGUUAAAAACGUUGAGUAAACCCAAUUAGGUAUUAAAUCCACGACAGCCGGUUCUACGCACCGGAAUUGACUCGGAUUUUAUCCGUCCAAGGGCUGUUUUUUCGGCGAUCUAACCCCGUUUGGAUCGGUAAAAAAAGGGCGAAACUAUGGCGACCACACCAUAAAUAAAUCACAUAAAAUAUAAGUAGAUAUGUUUUAUAUGAAAAGUCACAUAUAUAAGGCUUCUAUUUAAGAUUUUGAGAAUUAAAAAUACAUAUAAUAUAUAUAUAUUAACUAAAGAUUUAUGGCAAUAAACGUUUGAAAUUAUAGAAUUUUCA
rnacentral:lncRNA from 1 species